rnacentral:rRNA from 1 species
GAGUUUGAUCCUGGCUCAGAUUGAACGCUGGCGGCAUGCCUAACACAUGCAAGUCGAACGGCAGCACUGGGAGCUUGCUCCCUGGUGGCGAGUGGCGGACGGGUGAGUAACGCGUAGGAAUCUGCCUCAUAGCGGGGGACAACUCGGGGAAACUCGAGCUAAUACCGCAUACUACUCGAGAGAGGAAAGCAGGGGACCUUCGGGGCCUUGCACUAUGAGAUGAGCCUGCGUUGGAUUAGCUAGUUGGUAGGGUAAAGGCCUACCAAGGCGACGAUCCAUAACUGGUUUGAGAGGAUGACCAGUCACACUGGGACUGAGACACGGCCCAGACUCCUACGGGAGGCCAGCAGUGGGGAAUAUUGGACAAUGGGGGAAACCC